UACGAAGGGUGCAAGCGUUAAUCGGAAUUACUGGGCGUAAAGCGUGCGCAGGCGGUUUGCUAAGACAGGUGUGAAAUCCCCGGGCUUAACCUGGGAACUGCGCUUGUAACUGGCAAGCUGGAGUGUGGCAGAGGGGGGGUGGAAUUCCACGUGUAGCAGUGAAAUGCGUAGAGAUGUGGAGGAACACCGAUGGCGAAGGCAGCCCCCUGGGCUAACACUGACGCUCAUGCACGAAAGCGUGGGGAGCAAACAGG
rnacentral:rRNA from 1 species